rnacentral:rRNA from 1 species
UACGGAGGGUGCAAGCGUUGUUCGGAAUUACUGGGCGUAAAGAGUGCGUAGGCGGUUCGGCAAGUUCGAAGUGAAAUCCCGGGGCUCAACCUCGGAAUUGCUUUCAAAACUGCUGAUCUAGAGUAUGGUAGGGGAUAGUGGAAUUCCUAGUGUAGGGGUGAAAUCCGUAGAUAUUAGGAGGAACACCAGAGGCGAAGGCGACUAUCUGGGCCAUUACUGACGCUAAGGUACGAAAGCGUGGGGAGCAAACAGG